CCGGUCACGCUUCCAAGAAAAGCUUCUAGGGUUAAUUUAGUAAGUGCCCGUACCGAUAACCGACACAGGUAGGCGAGGAGAGAAUCCUAAGAUGAGCGAGAGAACUCUUGUUAAGGAACUCGGCAAAAUGACCCCGUAACUUCGGGAGAAGGGGUGCUUGUGAAAGCAAGCCGCAGUGGAUAGGCCCAGGCGACUGUUUAUCAAAAACACAGGUCUCUGCUAAACCGCAAGGUGAUGUAUAGGGGCUGACGCCUGCCCGGUGCUGGAAGGUUAAGAGGAGAGGUUAGCGCAAGCGAAGCUUUGAAUUGAAGCCCCAGUAAACGGCGGCCGUAACAAUAACGGUCCUAAGGUAGCGAAAUUCCUUGUCGGGUAAGUUCCGACCCGCACGAAAGGCGUAACGAUCUGGGCGCUGUCUCAACAAGAGACUCGGUGAAAUCAUAGUACCUGUGAAGAUGCAGGUUACCCGCGACAGGACGGAAAGACCCCGUGGAGCUUUACUGUAGCUUGAUAUUGAGCACUGGUGACACAUGUACAGGAUAGGUAGGAGACGAAGAAGCCAGGACGCCAGUCUUGGUGGAGUCGCUGUUGGGAUACUACCCUUGCGUUACUGGGGUUCUAACCCGUGGCCAUGAUCUGGUCAGGGAACAGUGUCAGGUGGGCAGUUUGACUGGGGCGGUCGCCUCCCAAAGAGUAACGGAGGCGCCCAAAGGUUCCCUCAGAAUGGUUGGAAAUCAUUCGAAGAGUGUAAAGGCAGAAGGGAGCUUGACUGCGAGACCUACAAGUCGAGCAGGGACGAAAGUCGGGCUUAGUGAUCCGGCGGUACCGAAUGGAAGGGCCGUCGCCCAACGGAUAAAAGCUACCCCGGGGAUAACAGGCUGAUCUCCCCCAAGAGUUCACAUCGACGGGGAGGUUUGGCACCUCGAUGUCGGCUCAUCGCAUCCUGGGGCUGUAGUCGGUCCCAAGGGUUGGGCUGUUCGCCCAUUAAAGCGGUACGCGAGCUGGGUUCAGAACGUCGUGAGACAGUUCGGUCCCUAUCCGUCGUGGGCGUAGGAAAUUUGAGAGGAGCUGUCCUUAGUACGAGAGGACCGGGAUGGACACACCGCUGGUGUACCAGUUGUUCUGCCAGGAGCAUAGCUGGGUAGCUACGUGUGGACGGGAUAAACGCUGAAAGCAUCUAAGCGUGAAGCCCCCCUCAAGAUGAGAUUUCCCAUUCGAAAGAAGUAAGAUCCCUUGAAGACGACAAGGUAGAUAGGUCAGAAGUGGAAGUGUGGUGACACAUGGAGCGGACUGAUACUAAUCGAUCGAGGACUUAAUC
rnacentral:rRNA from 1 species